rnacentral:rRNA from 1 species
UCUACGGGUGGCAGCAGUGGGGGAUAUUGCACAAUGGGGGAAACCCUGAUGCAGCGACGCCGCGUGAGUGAAGAAGGAUUUCGGUAUGUAAAGCUCUAUCAGCAGGGAAGAAAAGGACAGUACCUGACCAAGAAGCCCCGGCUAACUACGUACCAGCAGCCGCGAUAAUACGGAAGGGGCAAGCGUUAUGCGGAUUUACUGGGUGUAAAGGGAGCGUAGGCGGUUAUGGAAGUCUGGAGUGAAAGCCAGGGGACCAACCCCGGGACUGCUUUGGAAACUGUGUAACUGGAGUACAGGAGGGGCAGGCGGAAUUCUUGGUGUAGCGGUGAAAUGCAUAGAUAUCAGGAGGAACACCGGCGGCGAAGGCAGCCUGCUGGACUGCAACUGACGUGGAGGCUCGAAAGCGUGGGGAGCGAACAGGAUUAGAUACCCUGGUAGUC